GAUGAACGCUGGCGGCGCGCCUAAUACAUGCAAGUCGAGCGAACAGACGAGGAGCUUGCUCCUCUGACGUUAGCGGCGGACGGGUGAGUAACACGUGGAUAACCUACCUAUAAGACUGGGAUAACUUCGGGAAACCGGAGCUAAUACCGGAUAAUAUAUUGAACCGCAUGGUUCAAUAGUGAAAGACGGUUUUGCUGUCACUUAUAGAUGGAUCCGCGCCGCAUUAGCUAGUUGGUAAGGUAACGGCUUACCAAGGCAACGAUGCGUAGCCGACCUGAGAGGGGGAUCGGCCACACUGGAACUGAGACACGGUCCAGACUCCUACGGGAGGCAGCAGUAGGGAAUCUUCCGCAAUGGGCGAAAGCCUGACGGAGCAACGCCGCGUGAGUGAUGAAGGUCUUCGGAUCGUAAAACGCUGUUAUUAGGGAAGAACAAAUGUGUAAGUAACUAUGCACGUCUUGACGGUACCUAAUCAGAAAACCACGGCUAACUACGU
rnacentral:rRNA from 1 species